AAUGAAACUGAGGCGGCUGAGGUGCAGCAGCAGUUCCUAGAAGUGGCGGGCUUCCCUUCCGCUGUGGGUGCUUUGGAUGGUUCGCACUUUCGGAUUCAAGAUCCGUCUGACCUCAAAGCAGCGUGCGUCAACCGCCAUGGCUACCACUCCAUCAACGUGCAGCUGGUGGUGGGCGCUACAUACCAAAUUCGCCAUGCGAUAGUAAGGCGGCCUGUUAGUGAAAACGACUCCAAGGUCUUCCAGAAAAGCGCCCUUCUCGGAAAGUUAGCCAAUUGAACCUACGACAGUUGCUGCUACGUGACAGCGGAUAUGCGUGCGAGCCAUGGCUCAUGACACCCUUCCUGGUGUCCUCGUGAUUGCCGGAGGAAGAGUACAACAAAGCUCACAUCACAACCAGGUGUAUCGUGGAAAGGUGGUUUCCAUGCAGCCUCCCCAGGACUUUCCCUGCCAAGUGAUGUUCCCACUGACCCCAUAGAAGCAAUACGGCAAGACAGCUUGGGCAGCCGAGCUACAAUUGUGGCCCGGUUUUUUCUCAUAAAUUUCCUCCCUUCGCCGCUAGAAACAAUGCGCAGUCGACCUGCACCAUCGAUUUGGUCAGACGCCUGGAGGAGAGAGAGGCUCGUUUGUCCCAAAGCCAAGGUUUCUGGGGUGGCCCCCUUCCUACCUUGCAGCCCGUUCGUCCAGUGACAGCAGAACGUCACCAGAGCAAAUACUGUACAGAACCUGGUUGAUGCUGAUUUUAGUCGAGUGCUAAAAAGGCACACAUUUUCCGUUGUUACAAAAUUUCACAGUUUCCGGCAGCCCAUCUUUGUGUUAGGUAUUUUUACGCAGUAUAGGUAGAAGUGGUAACGCCUUAUCCAAUUUGCAGUCCUGUGCAGCCUGUUUAUAGUGAAGCCAGUGUCAUUUGAAAAUCAUCUUUUAAUUAUCCGAAACUUCACUCUACCUUCACCUCGAAUACAUUUGGUUCCUGUGAAAAAGCAAAUAUUAAACAUUACUUAACUAUAUUCAUAUCGUCUUUAUGCUAUGUACGGCUAGAGUUUUUUUUUUUAGCAUGUGUAAGUAACAAGCAUAUAUUUUUGGUUGAAUUAACUGCCUGUUCUUUGUGCUUUUUCACAGUUUACA